GUUCUUACCUGGCAGGGGAGAUACCAUGAUCGCAAAGGUGAUUUUCCCGUGGCUGGGUUUAUCCGUUGCCCUCAGGGUGUGCUGACCCCUGAGAUUUCCCCAAAUUCGGGAAACUCAGCUGCAUAAUUUGUGGUAGUGGGGGACUGUGUUCACGCUUUCCCCUG
rnacentral:snRNA from 1 species